UACGAGGGGGGCAAAUGUUGUUCGGAAUCACUGGGCGUAAAGGGAGCGUAGGCGGGUUUCUAAGUCAGGUGUUUAAUCCCGGGGCCCAACCCCGGACAGGCACUUGAAACUGGGAAUCUUGAAUAGUGGAGAGGUCAGUGGAAUUGGGGUGUAGCGGUGGAAUGCGUAGAGAUCCCCAAGAACACCAGUGGCGAAGGCGGCCGGCUGGGCCGUUCCGUGACGCUGAGGCGCGAAAGCCAGGGGAGCGAACGGA
rnacentral:rRNA from 1 species